rnacentral:misc_RNA from 1 species
GCGAGUUUCAAACUCCCAACCCUCGUGGACAUACCUAUCGUUGCUUCGGCGGGGCACCCUGAACGGGGUGCUGCCCCCACUGGGGCACCCGCCGGCGGCACGCCAACCAAACUCUGUCUCUUUGUAGAAUUCUGAGUAGACUACAAACAAGUCA